AGAAGCGAGGCUGUGAAGCGGAGCAAAUCUCAAAAACCGGUCCCAGUUCGGAUUGUAGGCUGCAACUCGCCUACAUGAAGUCGGAGUUGCUAGUAAUCGCGGAUCAGAAUGCCGCGGUGAAUGCGUUCCCGGGUCUUGUACACACCGCCCGUCACACCAUGGGAGUUGGAAAUGCCCGAAGCCAGUGACCCAACCGUAAGGAGGGAGCUGUCGAAGGUGGAGCCGAUGACUGGGGUGAAGUCGUAACAAGGUACC
rnacentral:rRNA from 1 species